UCCUGGCCGUAAACGGUGGACACUAGGUGUGGGAGGUAUCGACCCCUUCCGUGCCGUAGCAAACGCAUUAAGUGUCCCGCCUGGGGAGUACGAUCGCAAGGUUGAAACUCAAAGGAAUUGACGGGGGCCCGCACAAGCGGUGGAGCAUGUGGUUUAAUUCGACGCAACGCGAAGAACCUUACCAGGGCUUGAACUGCAGGCAAAACCCCUCGAAAGAGGGACUGCUUUCGGGCGGCCUGUAGAGGUGCUGCAUGGCUGUCGUCAGCUCGUGUCGUGAGAUGUUGGGUUAAGUCCCGCAACGAGCGCAACCCUUAUCCUUAGUUGCCAGCGCGUAAUGGCGGGGACUCUAAGGAGACUGCCCCGGAUAACGGG
rnacentral:rRNA from 1 species